UACGUAGGGUGCGAGCGUUAAUCGGAAUUACUGGGCGUAAAGCGUGCGCAGGCGGCUGUGCGAGACAGGUGUGAAAUCCCCGGGCUUAACCUGGGAACUGCACUUGUGACUGCAUGGCUGGAGUACGGCAGAGGGGGGUGGAAUUCCAGGUGUAGCAGUGAAAUGCGUAGAGAUCUGGAGGAACACCGAUGGCGAAGGCAGCCCCCUGGGCUAACACUGACGCUCAUGCACGAAAGCGUGGGGAGCAAACAGG
rnacentral:rRNA from 1 species